AUUGAACGCUGGCGGAAUGCUUUACACAUGCAAGUCGAACGGCAGCACGGACCUCGGUCUGGUGGCGAGUGGCGAACGGGUGAGUAAUGUAUCGGAACGUGCCCAGUCGUGGGGGAUAACGUAGUGAAAAUUACGCUAAUACCGCAUACGAUCUAUGGAUGAAAGCGGGGGAUCGCAAGACCUCGCGCGAUUGGAGCGGCCGAUAUCAGAUUAGGUAGUUGGUGGGGUAAAGGCCCACCAAGCCAACGAUCUGUAGCUGGUCUGAGAGGACGACCAGCCACACUGGAACUGAGACACGGUCCAGACUCCUACGGGAGGCAGCAGUGGGGAAUUUUGGACAAUGGGCGAAAGCCUGAUCCAGCCAUUCCGCGUGCAGGAUGAAGGCCCUCGGGUUGUAAACUGCUUUUGUACAGAACGAAAAGGUUUCUACUAAUACUAGGAGCUCAUGACGGUACCGUAAGAAUAAGCACCGGCUAACUACGUGCCAGCAGCCGCGGUAA
rnacentral:rRNA from 1 species